rnacentral:lncRNA from 1 species
GUACCUCCAGUUUGGGUCACUGUCUGUGACAUAAGAAAGGGAGGGGACCAUCCACCAGGAAGGCAAGAGACAACCAUGCUGAGUGGUUACAGUGCUGCCCUGGACUGGCGGCUAGCACCCACUGAAGCUAGUGCCAAUCAUUUCAGGGAAGGUUUGGAGGACCUUCCCAAUAGGAUGUGCUCACAGGGAAGGCGCUGGAGUAGGAGGCUGAGCUCUGUGCUUGUCCAUGCAGCUGGGAUACAGCUCUCUGGGCCUGCAAACCCAAAUGCCAUUUGCGGGCCCAAAACGACACAGGAGGCUGAAGUGAGCCCUGAUCUGCAAGAAUAUUUUUCAAAUACUGAUUUUAUGGUGAGUCUCUCCAGAGUAGAAUAUAAUGUUCAACUACGCAUUCCAUCUGCAAAGUUCUGGAUGCACCAUCUUGCAUUACAUAAAGUAAAAAAUAUGUUUUAAAGAAGGAACAGAAAGAAAGGAUAUGACACAUUAAAGCGGUGGAAGAAGAGCCUUUCAUUAUGCUUUGUGUAAAGCCAGAGGGUGUUAUGUAAACCAAACAGAAGUCAACUGUCUUAAAAAUGGGAUCAAUAAAUGUCUUAGGUUAUGUCA